UUGUUUAAUGCUUUGCUCUUACAAAGGCUGAGGAAAAUAAUUCACUUGAAGAGGUUCAUAAACAGGCUAGUUAGCAAAAGAUAAACUGUUUAUUUUAAACCAGUAAGUUUUUCACAGAACUUUAUAAACUACGUGUCUGUAGAUCUCCUGCAUAUGAGACUCGCCCUAGUCGUGACAACAGACUUGUCAGAACUUAAAGCAAACAUAAGUUACUGUUCAUCACAUAUAUACUGAGGAACAAAAAAAUCUCCUACAUCAUUCCAUAAAUGUAAGGCAACCACAGUUAUGAACCAUCACAAAUACAUUUUGUGGUGAUGCUUCUAAUUGUCUUCCCAGAGGAUGAGUUGGGGGAUUCCUAUUUACUCUCCUUUAUUACCAAUCAACUUAGCUCAUCUGCCUACCCUGAAAACUGCUUGCUGGGAGUUUCUUUUUUUUUUUUUUUCGCCCAAGACCUUAGACUGUGAAAGACUUUAAUAUCCAUGAUUUGCCGUGGCAGGGUGGUGCCCCAUGCAUGUUCAAGUUACCUUCAGAUUUAAUGCUUUCUCUACGGCUCAAAGUCACAUUAGGAAGUGAAGCUCUGAUCCGAGACCUUCACCAGCCAGGAGUCAGCUAUUUUCAAUGACUUUCUCAGUAACAUUCAAUCCUUUUGACCUGCCUCUCUGCCUUUCAUUUGCAUUCCAGCCUGGCCCAAGGAGAGUGAUUGCCUGUCCUGGAUUGCUUCUUGCACGGUGUUGAUUUAGUGGUAACACCGUACUGUAUAAUUCAUCUGCUCCUCGGUCCCAUAAUGACUUGGCUUAUACAGUGCACACACUGAAUAUCGACCUAGGAACCUUGGCCCUAGGGCAUGGAGAGCAGCAAAGGAGAGUCCUUGCUCCAGAGAUGGUCCCUAACCUAUGGUAAACAGGGAAUUUUCAGUGAUGGCUGGUUAUAAACAAUGUAAGAGGGUUCAAUUUUCCAUAUGGCAUGAUAUCUAUGUUGUUUCCUCCCUCUUCCCUGAAAAAGCAAAAAGGGUCUUGUGGUUUCCUCAGGUCUGCACAUACCCACUGGCUGCCCAUUAUCUUGAGUUAUAUUCAAUGCCUUUUACUGAGAUUGAUAAUACAGAUUCUGGUAGCUAAACAUUUAUACCCUUAUAAUAGCAUCUUUUAAUCUUCCAAGCUUGACAUUUACUCUCUUUAUUUUCAAAGCAACUUUGGGAAGUAGGUGGGCCUUAUGAUCAUAUGACUUGUGGGCCUACUGAUAUCUUUUUUUUUUUUUUUUACAUGGAAGAAUGUUUGUAGUUUAUUGUUUAGAGUAACAAACAAGCUAUGAAACAGAAUGUAUGGCAAGAUCCAAUAUGAGUUUUAAAAGACUGAAUGGACAAUGUGAAAAAGCUUAUAGCAAUUAUCUUGGAUGAUUUUCUUUCUUGUUGGUACUUAAGCUAUUUUUCAAUAUUUUUUUAAUUGGUAUGACAUUACUUCUAAAUCAGAGGGGAAUAUCAUCAAUAAAUGUAUUAUUCCUUUGAAAGGGGAUCUUAGA
rnacentral:lncRNA from 1 species